rnacentral:tRNA from 1 species
AGUUGGGUAGCUCAGUGGAUGAGAGCUCCAGAAUUCAAAUCUGGCCUCAGAUACUUCCCAGCUG